rnacentral:lncRNA from 13 species
AUGAGGUAUGAAUUCUGCUGGUACAGAUCAGAGCUGCAGUCACAUGGCUAUGGAGCCCACAGCACUGAUCUACAACUUGAAACACAGGAGGCCAUCCAGAGGUAUACAUGUAGGUCAUGGGGGUCACCAUGGUUCAACUUAGAGCAUGGCCUAUGGUACAGCCAGUUCAAAGAACCCUGCAGCCAGUUCUGGAACACAGCUGGGGGAAUAAUCCUGGAGGCCCAUCCUGAAGCCUGCUUGUCCAGCCCUUCCAGCCACGUUGGCAGACCAUCUCAGCACCCGCUAAAGCUAGAGCUGGCUGAGGCUACUGGGGUGAGUCCCAACAGGAUGACAGCAUCGAAGUCCUGCUUCUUCAGCACAUUUUUUUCUCCAGUUGUCUACAAACUCUGGCUCAGCUAUGGAGAGCUCAGCUGGAAUGCCUGGGUGUGGCAUUCAUGAGCUUGAAUGGAAAACCUGAAGCUCUGAGGGAAUGGGGGUGAAACCCAACAAACAUCACCUAAAGCAGCCUUGGCGCCUCUGAUUAUUUCCCCAGGUCAUUUUACCACCCCUUAAAGGCUUGUGGCGAUCACCUGCCAGGAUGAAAGAGUGUCAGCUAAAGGAGCUAGAGGCGAGGUGGGGGAUGAGUAAGAUAUUAAACACACAGAGGCUGGAGACUCAGCUCAAGAGAAGUGGCCAGGGAGAGACAGAAAGAGUAAAUCACCACCAGAUAAAACUGGGUUUCUUGCUGGCCUGUGUGAAAAUGAACUUGCAUCCCUUCUGGGUGGGAAAUGUACCCUCUGAUGUACCUGGGAGCUCCCCUGUGUUCUGGGUCAGACUGGGUACUCUGGGAGCUGUUUUGGCCAUCCUUCCCCAGAAAAAACUCAGGGCCCAGCUGCCCAGGAAAAGGGUGGCUGAGUUGUAGGCAUCCUCACAUUGACCCUGUUUGCA